rnacentral:rRNA from 1 species
GCAGCGAUGCCGCGUGAGUGAAGAAGGCCCUUGGGUUGUAAAGCUCUUUCGUCGGGGAAGAAAAUGACUGUACCCGAAUAAGAAGGUCCGGCUAACUUCGUGCCAGCAGCCGCGGUAAUACGAAGGGACCUAGCGUAGUUCGGAAUUACUGGGCUUAAAGAGUUCGUAGGUGGUUGAAAAAGUUGGUGGUGAAAUCCCAGAGCUUAACUCUGGAACUGCCAUCAAAACUUUUCAGCUAGAGUUUGAUAGAGGAAAGCAGAAUUUCUAGUGUAGAGGUGAAAUUCGUAGAUAUUAGAAAGAAUACCAAUUGCGAAGGCAGCUUUCUGGAUCAUUACUGACACUGAGGAACGAAAGCAUGGGUAGCGAAGAGGAUUAGAUACCCUCGUAGUCCAUGCUGUAAACGAUGUGUGUUAGACGUUGGAAAUUUAUUUUCAGUGUCGCAGCGAAAGCGAUAAACACACCGCCUGGGGAGUACGACCGCAAGGUUAAAACUCAAAUGAAUUGACGGGGACCCGCACAAGUAGUGGAGCAUGUGGUUUAAUUCGAAGAUACGCGCAGAACCUUACCAACACUUGACAUGUUCGUCGCGACUUUAAGAGAUUAGAGUUUUCGGUUCGGCCGGACGAAACACAGGUGCUGCAUGGCUGUCGUCAGCUCGUGUCGUGAGAUGUUGGGUUAAGUCCCGCAACGAGCGCAACCCUCACUUUUAGUUGCCAUCAUUUAGUUGGGCACUCUGAAAGAACUGCCAGUGAUAAGCUGGAGGAAGGUGGGGAUGACGUCAAGUCCUCAUGGCCCUUACGUGUUGGGCUACACACGUGCUACAAUGGUAUCUACAACAGGAAGCAAAACGGCGACGUUAAGCAAAUCCUUAAAAGAUACCUCAGUUCGGAUUGCACUCUGCAACUCGAGUGCAU